GCCUUCACUUGCCUCUCUCACCUUGCAGAGGUCAACGAGCGUGUUCCCCUGAUCUGCAAGGAUCCUCUUCUCCAUCUUCACUCUCCGUAACCUGAAGGUGGAGAGACACUCAUGAAUGCAGCUAGAAAUGUUUGUCUUCUCUGAUGCCUGAAGCGCAUAUCAAGCUGUAGUUGUUAGCAUUCACCCUCUUGGAGAUGUGAGAGUCCAUCAUGAAGUUGUGGACGUGCUUCUCAGCUCGGGUCAACUCCAGCUUCCUG